rnacentral:rRNA from 1 species
CUACGGGAGGCAGCAGUGGGGAAUAUUGCACAAUGGGCGCAAGCCUGAUGCAGCCAUGCCGCGUGUAUGAAGAAGGCCUUCGGGUUGUAAAGUACUUUCAGCGGGGAGGAAGGCGUUGUGGUUAAUAACCACAGCGAUUGACGUUACCCGCAGAAGAAGCACCGGCGAACUCCGUGCCAGCAGCCGCGGUAAUACGGAGGGUGCAAGCGUUAAUCGGAAUUACUGGGCGUAAAGCGCACGCAGGCGGUCUGUCAAGUCGGAUGUGAAAUCCCCGGGCCCAACCUGGGAACUGCAUUCGAAACUGGCAGGCUUGAGUCUUGUAGAGGGGGGUAGAAUUCCAGGUGUAGCGGUGAAAUGCGUAGAGAUCUGGAGGAAUACCGGUGGCGAAGGCGGCCCCCUGGACAAAGACUGACGCUCAGGUGCGAAAGCGUGGGGAGCAAACAGGAUUAGAUACCCCCGUAGUC